GCGAUUUGGGCUACAACUUCCUGCUUUGGCCCAGCAGCAUGGGACUUCUUAUGCCUGAAGACUGGACCCUAAGAGUGGGACUUCCUAUCUCCCUCUUGUCUCAGGAGAUACAAACUGUCCUCUUGCACAGCAGUGUGACUCUGGGACUAGGAGAGCCACCUGCAGACAGGUGAAUGUGUUUGGCAUAAACUCAGAAGCCUCAUGUAGGACUUGCUGUUUAGCUCCAAGCUGAAAGGGGAGCCUGGCCACAGCAUCUGCAAAGGUCUGCUACCUUCUUCUGCCCCCAGGCCACAUCUCCUCAGCCUCCAAAGACUCCCAUUCAUCAUCCAACACGUCGGAUCUGCAUGUUUCCCAUAUCCAACUCCCUCCCCCAUCUCUUGAUUUCCUUUUUGCUUUGUUUUGUUUGACUCAAAAUCUCAUGUAGCCCAGGCUGGCUUCUGGCUUCCUAGAUAGCCUACACUGGGCCUGAACUAGUGUUUCUCCUGCCUCAGUCUCCUAAGUGCUGGAAUUCAUGCAAGAACCACCUCACCCAUUGCUUUCUGGUUUUUUUCUUUCCUCCUGUUUGUUUGCUUGUCUGUUUGUUUGUUUGUUUGUUUGGGGGAAAGGAUCUCAUAACACAGACCUUGCUGGCCUCACACUUCUCAGUCUCCUGCCUCAGCUUCCUGGGAGCUGAGAUGACAACCAUGGGCUACCAUGACUAUUCUCUAUGCCCUCUAAAAUUUUCUGUGGCUGUACAUAGUGUCUAGACAUCCUUCAGUCUGUGCAUUUUAACCAUUGGGGCCUGUGGUUUGGUCUCUGUCAACCCCUGUGACUUCUCUCCCACAAGCCUUCUGCCAAUCACACACACACACACCCUUCCCCCCCCUCCAGGCUUUCUCCCCAGAGUUUGCUCUACCUGAACAGUUCUCUUCCCCAUGUCAUUGAUUUAUCAAGGCUUGAAGUAGUCAUUACCACAUCAGAAGGACUUCCCCUCUUCCCCCAGUGCCCAGCUUCCCUCUCAUCCCGUAUAACGACUGAUAACUUCCCCUCUCUGAACUGAGAGCUCAGUGAGGCACACAUCACACUUAUCCCAGCAGAAACAGAGCCUGGCAUUCAAUAAAUUCUCAUGGACCGAUG
rnacentral:lncRNA from 1 species